ACUGUCUCGUAUUAUUAUCGAUUC
rnacentral:snRNA from 1 species